rnacentral:lncRNA from 1 species
GUACCAACAAAAUUGAGAAACUGAUAUAUUAUAAAACUAGAUUGUCACAUUGACUACAAAUGUGCAACAUGAAAUAUAUUUCAAUAAAAAAUAUUUUGUGGUAUACAAUGGUCAAAAGAAACCAAAUUUUAAAAAGGUCACACAAGAAAAGGCCAACAUAGUAGAUCAUCUGCAAAUUUGCCAAAAUUGCAACCCAUGGGAAAGCAUGGAUCCUGGAAAAAUAUUACAAAAAUAAUAUUAGACAUAAGAAAAGUCAAAUUUUCAAAUGUCCCAGAUAGCAGCAAAGUUAAGACCAUCUCAGAUUCAAAAAGAAUGCUGAUUCAAUAUAGCUGUUUUAAAAAAAAAAUUAGAAGAUGCAUCACUUACAAUUUUCUUAACUAUUUCAUGGAGAGAAUGCAAAAUCUUUAUCAUGCUGGAAGAGUCCCUAACAACCACAAUGUUAAUAAAAGUUAUUGGUAUGAAAAUUUUAUAUUUGUGUUUGUCAGUAUGUCUAAAGAAACAACUGAUAGGGUGGAACGUCAAUUGUAAAUGUACUUUGUUAUUUAGGCAUAAUUAGUGUUUGUUGGAUGCGAGAGACUUCUUUUUCUAAUAUUUCCAAAGAAUCUAUGUUUACAAGAAUUACUAAUUGCCAAAACAGAAGCAAAAGUUUCUCUGCUUGCAUUAUAAACAUUUGAAGUUAACAUUCUGCUAUUAUCAGCAAAUGACUAUGAUACUAACAUGCAAAUUUCACCAUUAAAUAUCAAAGCCCUGGUGAAAUUCUUAUAAAGUGAGUUCUCCAUGCAAGCAUAUGUUAAUGCUCAAUCUCCAUCCAAUACAAAAAAUUAAGGAAAAACAAGGGCCACAGUCGGUUGAUAAAUGAUCCAUAUAGAUCCUAAUUUCCUGAAGAUACAUAACUACUCUUAGAUAUAGUUCCAAUAUAU